rnacentral:rRNA from 1 species
UUUAAUAUUGACUUAAUUAUUUUGUUAGUUAUAAUUGUUUUUAUAGAAAUAACUUUUAUUUUAGUAUAUUUUAUUGAACUAAUUUAUUGAUUGAUAGUAUAAAGUACUGUGAAGGAUUGUUUUUUAUUAAAGUUAAAGUUUAAUUAAUUUUUUGUACCUUUUGUAUCAGGGUUAAUUAACUAUAUGUUAUAGAUGUUAUCUAUCCCGAAAUAAAGAGGGAUAAAGGCCUAUGGGUUUCAAUGUAUCAAAAUUGUUUCUAAUUGGUUUUUAGUAAUGAUAUGUUAUUCGUUCUUUAUAUAUCUGGUUUUCUUGGAAUUGAAUUUAAUUUAGGAUAAAAGCAUUAAUAUAAUAAGUGAUUUUUAUUUAAUAGUUUUUAUCUAAUAUUACUAGGGAUAAGCUUGGUAAUAUUAUUAUAAUUUGUCUUUAUAGAAGCUGUUGUAGGCUUAGAAUCGGCCAUCAUUAAUUUCGUUAUAGAAUAGGCUUGUAGUUUUAUUUAUUUAUUGUGAAAUUUAAUUAAUUACAGGAAUAAAUAAUUGAAUUUAAUGUUUAUUAAUAUAAUGAUUAAAUUAGUAUUUUAUUUAAUUAAAUUAUAGGAACUCGGCAAAUAUUAUACCCGCCUGUUUAACAAAAACAUGUCCUUUUGUGUUUAAUAAAUAUAAGGUCUAACCUGCCCAAUGAUUAAUUUUGAAUGGCCGCGGUAUAUUAACUGUGCUAAGGUAGCAUAAUCACUUGUCUUUUAAUUUAAGGCUGGAAUGAAUGGUUGGACGAAGUAUUAGCUUUCUUUAAUUUAGUUUAUGAACUUAAUUUUUCAGUCAAAAAGCUGAAAUGUGUUUGAGGGACGAGAAGACCCUAUAGAUCUUUAUAUCUGUAUUUAUUAUAAAUUAUAGUGAAUUAAUUAUUAUAUAUUAAUAUAUGUAUUUGGUUGGGGCGACUGUGGAAUUUAAAUUAACUUCUACUUAUUUUUAUCAUAAAUGAAUGUAUAGUUGAUCCAUUUUUAAUGAUUAUAAGAUUAAGUUACCUUAGGGAUAACAGCGUAAUUUUUUCAGAGAGUUCUUAUCGAUGAAGGAGUUUGCGACCUCGAUGUUGGAUUAAAAUAAGUUGUAGGUGUAGGAGUUUACAAACUAGGUCUGUUCGACCUUUAAUUUUUUACAUGAUCUGAGUUCAGACCGGCGUAAGCCAGGUCAGUUUCUAUCUUCAAUAGUUUAUUAAGUUUUAGUACGAAAGGACCAAACUUAAGGAAUAAAAGUUUUUAAUUAUUGAUUUCUAUU